UAUGGAGAGUUUGAUCCUGGCUCAGGAUGAACGCUGGCGGCGUGCCUAAUACAUGCAAGUCGAACGCGCGGAUCAGGAGCUUGCUCCUGUGACGCGAGUGGCGGACGGGUGAGUAACACGUAGGCAACCUGCCCAUCAGACUGGGAUAACCACGGGAAACCGUGGCUAAUACCGGAUAAUCCUUUUCCACACAGGUGGGAAAGUUGAAAGGCGGCCUUUUGGCUGUCACUGAUGGAUGGGCCUGCGGCGCAUUAGCUUGUUGGUGGGGUAACGGCCCACCAAGGCGACGAUGCGUAGCCGACCUGAGAGGGUGAUCGGCCACACUGGGACUGAGACACGGCCCAGACUCCUACGGGAGG
rnacentral:rRNA from 1 species